rnacentral:rRNA from 1 species
UACGUAGGGUGCGAGCGUUGUCCGGAAUUAUUGGGCGUAAAGAGCUCGUAGGCGGUUUGUCGCGUCGGCCGUGAAAACUUGGGGCUUAACCCCGAGCCUGCGGUCGAUACGGGCAGACUUGAGUUCGGCAGGGGAGACUGGAAUUCCUGGUGUAGCGGUGAAAUGCGCAGAUAUCAGGAGGAACACCGGUGGCGAAGGCGGUGAUCUGGGCCGACACUGACGCUGUAGAGCGAAAGCGUGGGGAGCGAACAGG